AAGACUUUAAGUUAAAAAAACUAUAUACCUUCAAAGUAUAAAAUAAAAUAAUUAAGUCUUA
rnacentral:tRNA from 1 species